AAUACUUACACGAGUCCGAUAGCAAACAAGUACCGUGAGGGAAAGUUGAAAAGUACUUUGAAGAGAGAGUAAACAGUGCGUGAAACCGUUCAAAGGUAAACAGGUGGAGUUGAAAUGCAAGCUCUGGGAAUUCAACUGAUGAGUGUGAUUUGUGCUUGGGCAUACUGGCCGCCUUCAGUGUCUGUUUAAUUGCAGGUGCCUGCCUUUUUGGUGGGUAUGUGUGAAUCGUUUGCAUACGACGCACGCACUGUUGGUGUGAGGGUCUGCUUGUCAGUGCACUUUCUCAGGGUGUUCACCACGACCGGCACUGCUGCCUGUCUGCUAUGGCCAAACUGAUCAGGUCUGAUUUUUGUCAGUCUUGGUUGGGUCGGCAGGUGACUCUUUGGCUCAUCUAUGGGCUGUGAGUGUUACUAGCUGGCUGUAGUGGAGCUGUGCGGUGUGUUGGAGAUGGCGGCUUCGCAUGCGUGCCUAGACCUUCGGGCAUUGUUGAGUCUGGUCGGCUCGUUACUAGCUUCGGCUGGUCGGCCGAUGGCUUGAUUUUGUCACGUAGGCGGUUGCGUGUGUGGUUUGCAUUGGGCCAAUAGUCUGUGGUGUAGUGGUAGACGAUCCACCUGACCCGUCUUGAAACACGGACCAAGGAGUUUAACAUGUGCGCGAGUCAUUGGGUGUUACGAAACCCAAAGGCGAAGUGAAGGUAAAGGUUCGGCUUGUCCGGACUGAGGUGAGAUCCUGUUGUCUUGCUCAUACUUUCCAAGUUGCGAGCAGCGGGCGCAUCACCGGCCCGUCCCAUGACGUAGACAUGUGACCUCGUGUUGUGUGCACCGUCGGGGCGGAGCAAGAGCGUACACGUUGAGACCCGAAAGAUGGUGAACUAUGCUUGUGAAGGUUGAAGCCAGAGGAAACUCUGGUGGAGGACCGUAGC
rnacentral:rRNA from 1 species